rnacentral:lncRNA from 1 species
AUGGUACAUGGUUUGAGCCAGGCUCAGCUUGCUAACAGGUGGAAGGACACCAAAGGCAUCACAUGCCAAAAGAAUGACAUUCUUAGGAUGUGGACCGACGCAUGGUAUCUUAGCAUUUGGAAUGUAUUCGAUCGGAUAGGCCGCACGAGUAUUCUCUGCAAGCAAAAGAAAAAAGUAAUAAAAUCGUAUUAAAGAUUAUGUGUAUUUCGUAAAGCAUAAUCCACAUUGCCAGAUAUCUGCAUAUUAUUCUAUUAUCACAUGGCUGACAUCAAGGAAUUUUGCAUUGAAAACCUUAUUUUAAAACAACUAAACAUGUGCAUAGAAAAUGUCAACCCAUUAGAUUAAUCGGAUUAAACAAACGUGAAGGAAAAUUCUCAGCCAUCACGAUGACUCAGACAUUGUUCAUCUUAUCCUUAGACAACCUUACUGAGUCAAAGCUUAUACAUACCUGUAACUGAUUUGUCACCAUAAUCCACCUCUCUCGUAUGUUCAUCGAAAACAACAUUUUCCAACACUGCAGAAACAAAGAAUUCAAAAAGAUCAAAAACCAAGCACAACAGUUUUAUACUGGGUAUAGUAUGAUCUAAGAAAACCGAGGGACAGAGAAUUUCACCAGUUCCAAACUUAAUGGCAUUCCAGAUAUCAGGCUCCUUCUCCCUUGAAAGAUCAAUACACUUGGCAUAGCAACCACCUUCGAUGUUCGACACACCAUUGUCACUCCAACAAUGCUCGUCAUCACCGAUCAGAUACCUGUUGUGAUCGGUAGACAAAGUGGUCUUACCCGUACCUGUUUUGCAUGUAAACUCAUUAGUAACAAUGCAAAGCCGACUAUCCACAUAUCGGGAGCAGAGUUAAGAGAACACAUAUCGGUUUUCAGGAACUAAGCACCACAUCAUGUGACCUUUGAUCCGGCGAUACUAUACCUGACAAUCCAAAGAAGAGGGCAACAUCUCCAUCUUUUCCCAUAUUGCAUCCAGAAUGUAACGAGAGGAUUUGACGCAUAGGCAUGAGAUAAUGCAUAACACUGAAAAGACCCUUCUUCAUUUCCCCGGCGUAUUGAGUGCCGAGGAUGACCAUUUCCC